UCGAUUCCCUUAGUAGCGGCGAGCGAAACGGGAAGAGCCCAAACCAACAAGCUUGCUUGUUGGGGUUGUAGGACACUCUAUACGGAGUUACAAAGGACGACAUUAGACGAAUCAUCUGGAAAGAUGAAUCAAAGAAGGUAAUAAUCCUGUAGUCGAAAAUGUUGUCUCUCUUGAGUGGAUCCUGAGUACGACGGAGCACGUGAAAUUCCGUCGGAAUCUGGGAGGACCAUCUCCUAAGGCUAAAUACUCUCUAGUGACCGAUAGUGAACCAGUACCGUGAGGGAAAGGUGAAAAGCACCCCGGAAGGGGAGUGAAAUAGAACCUGAAACCGUGUGCUUACAAGUAGUCAGAGCCCGUUAAUGGGUGAUGGCGUGCCUUUUGUAGAAUGAACCGGCGAGUUACGAUUUGAUGCAAGGUUAAGCAGUAAAUGUGGAGCCGUAGCGAAAGCGAGUCUGAAUAGGGCGUUUAGUAUUUGGUCGUAGACCCGAAACCAGGUGAUCUACCCUUGGUCAGGUUGAAGUUCAGGUAACACUGAAUGGAGGACCGAACCGACUUACGUUGAAAAGUGAGCGGAUGAACUGAGGGUAGCGGAGAAAUUCCAAUCGAACCUGGAGAUAGCUGGUUCUCUCCGAAAUAGCUUUAGGGCUAGCCUCAAGUGAUGAUUAUUGGAGGUAGAGCACUGUUUGGACGAGGGGCCCCUCUCGGGUUACCGAAUUCAGACAAACUCCGAAUGCCAAUUAAUUUAACUUGGGAGUCAGAACAUGGGUGAUAAGGUCCGUGUUCGAAAGGGAAACAGCCCAGACCACCAGCUAAGGUCCCAAAAUAUAUGUUAAGUGGAAAAGGAUGUGGCGUUGCCCAGACAACUAGGAUGUUGGCUUAGAAGCAGCCAUCAUUUAAAGAGUGCGUAAUAGCUCACUAGUCGAGUGACACUGCGCCGAAAAUGUACCGGGGCUAAACAUAUUACCGAAGCUGUGGAUUGUCCUUUGGACAAUGGUAGGAGAGCGUUCUAAGGGCGUUGAAGCAUGAUCGUAAGGACAUGUGGAGCGCUUAGAAGUGAGAAUGCCGGUGUGAGUAGCGAAAGACGGGUGAGAAUCCCGUCCACCGAUUGACUAAGGUUUCCAGAGGAAGGCUCGUCCGCUCUGGGUUAGUCGGGUCCUAAGCUGAGGCCGACAGGCGUAGGCGAUGGAUAACAGGUUGAUAUUCCUGUACCACCUAUAAUCGUUUUAAUCGAUGGGGGGACGCAGUAGGAUAGGCGAAGCGUGCGAUUGGAUUGCACGUCUAAGCAGUAAGGCUGAGUAUUAGGCAAAUCCGGUACUCGUUAAGGCUGAGCUGUGAUGGGGAGAAGACAUUGUGUCUUCGAGUCGUUGAUUUCACACUGCCGAGAAAAGCCUCUAGAUAGAAAAUAGGUGCCCGUACCGCAAACCGACACAGGUAGUCAAGAUGAGAAUUCUAAGGUGAGCGAGCGAACUCUCGUUAAGGAACUCGGCAAAAUGACCCCGUAACUUCGGGAGAAGGGGUGCUCUUUAGGGUUAACGCCCAGAAGAGCCGCAGUGAAUAGGCCCAAGCGACUGUUUAUCAAAAACACAGGUCUCUGCUAAACCGUAAGGUGAUGUAUAGGGGCUGACGCCUGCCCGGUGCUGGAAGGUUAAGAGGAGUGGUUAGCUUCUGCG
rnacentral:rRNA from 1 species